rnacentral:misc_RNA from 1 species
GUAACAAGGUUUCCGUAGGUGAACCUGCGGAGGGAUCAUUACACAAAUAUGAAGGCGGGCUGGAACCUCUCGGGGUUACAGCCUUGCUGAAUUAUUCACCCUUGUCUUUUGCGUACUUCUUGUUUCCUUGGUGGGUUCGCCCACCACUAGGACAAACAUAAACCUUUUGUAAUUGCAAUCAGCGUCAGUAACAAAUUAAUAAUUACAACUUUCAACAACGGAUCUCUUGGUUCUGG